rnacentral:rRNA from 1 species
AACGAACGCUGGCGGCAGGCUUAACACAUGCAAGUCGAGCGCCCCGCCAGGGGAGCGGCAGACGGGUGAGUAACGCGUGGGAACGUACCUUUUGGUUCGGAACAACUCCGGGAAACUGGGGCUAAUACCGGAUAAGCCCUAACGGGGAAAGAUUUAUCGCCGAAAGAUCGGCCCGCGUCUGAUUAGCUAGUUGGUGAGGUAACGGCUCACCAAGGCGACGAUCAGUAGCUGGUCUGAGAGGAUGAUCAGCCACACUGGGACUGAGACACGGCCCAGACUCCUACGGGAGGCAGCAGUGGGGAAUAUUGGACAAUGGGCGCAAGCCUGAUCCAGCCAUGCCGCGUGAGUGAUGAAGGCCUUAGGGUUGUAAAGCUCUUUUGUCCGGGAAGAUAAUGACUGUACCGGAAGAAUAAGCCCCGGCUAACUUCGUG